AUUGAACGCUGGCGGCAUGCCUUACACAUGCAAGUCGAACGGCAGCAUAGGAGCUUGCUCCUGAUGGCGAGUGGCGAACGGGUGAGUAAUAUAUCGGAACGUGCCCUAGAGUGGGGGAUAACUAGUCGAAAGACUAGCUAAUACCGCAUACGAUCUACGGAUGAAAGUGGGGGAUCGCAAGACCUCAUGCUCCUGGAGCGGCCGAUAUCUGAUUAGCUAGUUGGUGGGGUAAAAGCCUACCAAGGCAACGAUCAGUAGCUGGUCUGAGAGGACGACCAGCCACACUGGGACUGAGACACGGCCCAGACUCCUACGGGAGGCAGCAGUGGGGAAUUUUGGACAAUGGGGGCAACCCUGAUCCAGCAAUGCCGCGUGAGUGAUGAAGGCCUUCGGGUUGUAAAGCUCUUUUGUCAGGGAAGAAACGGUAGUAGCUAAUAUCUAUUACUAAUGACGGUACCUGAAGAAUAAGCACCGGCUAACUACGUGCCAGCAGCCGCGGUAAGAC
rnacentral:rRNA from 1 species